CGAUUCCUACGGGAGGCAGCAGUGGGGAAUAUUGCACAAUGGGCGCAAGCCUGAUGCAGCCAUGCCGCGUGUAUGAAGAAGGCCUUCGGGUUGUAAAGUACUUUCAGUAGGGAGGAAGGUGGUUAAGUUAAUACCUUAAUCAUUUGACGUUACCUACAGAAGAAGCACCGGCUAACUCCGUGCCAGCAGCCGCGGUAAUA
rnacentral:rRNA from 1 species